rnacentral:lncRNA from 1 species
AGAAGAUUGAUAGUGUUAUUAGUGUUGUUGUUUUGCUAAUUUUUUAUAUUGUUAUCAAGAAAUGAGAAGAUUGAUAGUGUUAUUUGUGUUCUUGUUUUGCUAAAUUUUGUAUAUUGUUAUCAAGAAAUGAGAAGAUUGAUAUUGUUAUUAGUGUUCUUGUUUUGCUAAAUUUUGUAUAUUGUUAUCAAGAAAUAGGAAGGUUGAUAGUGUUAUUAGUGUUCUUAUUUUGCUUAAUUUUGUAUAUUGUUAUCAAGAAAUGAGAAGAUUGAUAGUGUUAUUAGUGUUCUUGGUUUGCUAAAUAUUGUAUAUUGUUAUCAAGAAAUGAGAAGACUGAUAGUGUUAUUAGUGUUCUUGUUUUGAUAAAUUUUGUAUAUUGUUAUCAAGAAAUGAGCAGAUUGAUAGUGUGGUUAGUGUUGUUGUUUUACUAAAUUUUGUAUAUUGUUAUCAAGAAACGAGAAGAUUGAUAGUGUUAUUAGUGUUCUUGUUUUCUAAAGCAUUUCUUGUUUUGCUAAAUUUUGUAUAUUGUUAUCAAGAAACAAGAAGAUUGAUAGUGUUAUUUGUGUGCUUGUUAUCAAGACACGUUUGACGCUGACCCUUUAGCAAAAUCUCUCAAAAAUGAAAGGCAUUGCCAUGGGGAAUUCUCCAUGGCUUCUAUUCAGUCAAAUAACGAUAUGGAAGAUCACAACCAAGUCGAUGUAAGGCAUGACGCACUGUUCGUUUGAAUUUAUGAUGGCCUCAAAGGCCACACCACCACUUCCUAUAUUCGUACGCACAUCUUUAGGACUCUAUUACGUGAGUUAUUUCUUUGCUUCUUUUUUCUUAGCAUACUUAUCUGUAUAUUAUUAUCAAGAAAUGAGAAGAUUGAUAGUGUUAUUAGUGUUCUUGUUUUGCUAAAUUUUGUAUAUUAUUAUCAAGAAAUGAGAAGAUUGAUAGUGUUAUUAGUGUUCUUGUUUUGCUAAAUUUUGUAUACUUGUUAGCAACGAAAACGUUUGACGCUGACCCUUUAGCUAAAAUCUCUUCAAAAAUGAAAGGCAGCCAUGGGAAUUCUCCUAUGGCUUUCUAUUCAGUCAAAUAAGAAUAGGCGAAGAUCACAAACCAAAGUCGAUGUAAAGUCCCAUGACGCACUGUUCAAUUUGAAUUUUAUGAUGCUGUCAAAGGCCCACACCACUAGCUUCCUAUAUUUGUACGACAUCUUUAGGACUCUAUUGACGUGAGUUAUUGUUCUUUGCUUAUUUUUUCUACAAUACUAUCUGUAUAUUGUUAUGCAAGACUGAGAAAUGAUAGUGUUGAUUAGUGUUCUUCGUUUUGCUAAAUUUGUAUAUUAUUAUCAAAGAAAUGAGAGAUUGGAAUAGUGUGUAUUAGUGUUCCUGUUUUGCUAAAUUUGUAUAUGUUAUCAAGACAUGGAGAAGAGUAAUAGUGUUAUUAGUGUCUGUUGUUUGGAUAAAUUUGUAUCUUUGUUUCAAGAAAUGAAGAAGAUUGAUAGUGUGUAUAGUGUGGUUGUUUACUAAAUUUUGUAUAUUGGUUUAUCAAGAAACGAGAAGAUUUAUAGUGUUAUUAGUGUUCUGUUUGCAAAAUUUGUAUAUUGUUACAAGGAAAUUGAGAAGAUGAUAGUGUUAUUUCAGUGUUCUUGUUUUGCUAAUUAUGUAUAUUGUUAUCAAGAAAUGAGAAAGAAUCGAUAUUGUUAUUAGUGUUCUUGUUUGCUAAAUUUUGUUAUUGUUAAUCAAGAAACGAAAAAAGAUUGAUUGUGUUUUUAGUGUUUAUGUUUUGCUAAAUUUUGUAUAUUAUUGACAAGAAAUAAAAAUUGAUAUGGUCAGUAGUGUUCUGUUUGGCAUAAAUUGUUGUAUAUUGAUAUCAAUAAAUGAGAAGAUUAUUAGUGUUUAUAGUUUCUUGUUUGCUACAAUUUUUAUAUUGUAUCAAGAAAUGAGGAAGAUUAGAUUAGUGUUAUUAGUCUUCUUGUUUUGCUAAUUUUGUAUAUUGUAUCAAGAAAUAAAAGAUUGAUAGUGUUAUUAGUAUUCUUUGUUAUCAAGAAACGUUUGACGCUGACCCUUUAGCAAAAUAUCUCUCCAAAAUGAAAGCGAUUGCAUCGGGGAAUUCUCCAGUGGCUUCUGUUCAGUCAAAAAAGGAUUAUGGAAGACUUCAACAACCAAGUCGAUUAAAGUCAUGACGCACUGUUCUUUUGAAUUUCAUGAUGGCUUCAACAGGCCACACCACUGCUUCCUAUAUUCGUACGCACUAUCUUUAGACUCUUUACGUGCAGUGUUAUUUCUUUGCUUCUUUUUUCUACUUACUAUCUUGAAUGUUCAAAUGAAGAUUCUAGUAUCUGAAUGUUCUGAUAUAUUGUUAUCAAAGAAAAUGAGAAAGAUGCGAUAGUGUGUAUUGGUGCUUGUUGUUUUGCUAAAAUUUUGUAUAUUGUAUCAAGCGAAAUGAGAAGAUUGAUAGUGGUUAUUAGUGUGCUUGUUUUGCUAAAUUUUGAUAUAUAUGUCUAUGAAAAUGCAAGAUGUAAGUUUGUUUGUAUUUUGUAUUAUUCGAAGAGGGUUGAUAGUGUUAUUAGUCGUUCUUGCUUUUGCUAAUUUUGUAAUAUUGGUUAUCAAGAAAAGAGAGGAGUUGAUAGUGUUAUUAGUGUGCUUUUUAUCAAGAAACAUUGGAGCUUGACCCUUUAGCAAUUCUCAAUAAACUCCAGGAAUUCCCAUGGCUCUUUAAAAAUGAAUGUCAAACAAUCAUUAAGAUGACACGUCGGAUUUGCCUUAAGCCAAACUGUUCAUAUGGCGCAACAUUUUGACUUUUAAGAUUCCUCUCUUUAGUAUACUGACGUCAAUAAGUUGGAUGUUAGCUUUUCGCUAAUUUAUAUUCAAAAUUAAGGUAUAUCGCCUGUGUAAAUGUAUUUAUCAAGAUGGAAAGAAUUUAUGUUGCUGUUGGAAAUUUGUUUGCUUUAAGAAUAAUGUGUAUAGUAAGUUCAUGUUACUGCAUUUCUUGAAUUUUCAUCAAAGUAUGAGCUUAAAGCAUACCAUGUUAUUAGUGUUCUGUUUUCCUAAUUAUGUAUACUUGUUUUCAAGAAGAAUGAGAAGAUUGAUAUUAUGUAUAGUUUUUUGUUUGCAAAUUUUGUAGAUUUUAUCAAGAACAGAGAGAUAUUGUGUUAUUAGGGUGUUCUUGGUUUGCUAAAUUUUGAUAUUGUUAUCAAGAAAGAGAAGAUUGAUAGGUUAAUUAGGUUCUUGUUUUGCUAAUUUUGGAUAUUGUUAUCAAGAAAUGAGAAGAUGAUAGUGUGUUUUAGUGUUUCUUGUUUUGCUAAAUUUGUAUAUUGUUAUCAAGAAAUGAGAAGAUGAUAGUGUUAUUAGUUCUUCUUUUUGCUAAAUUUUGUAUAUUAUUAUCAAGAAUAUGAGAAGAGUUGAUAGUGUUAUAGUGUUCUGUGUUUGCUGAAAUAUGUAUAUUGUUAUCCAAGAAAUGAGAAGAUUGAUAGUGUUAUGUAGUGUUUUGUUAUCAGAAACGUUUGACGCUGACCCUUUACGCAAGAUCUCUCUAAAUGAAAGGCAUUUGCAUUGGGAAUUCUCCAAUGGCUUCUGUUUCAGUCAAAUUAAGGAUAUGAAGAUCACAACCAAGACAAUGUAAGUCAUGACCGACUGUUCGUUUGAAUUUAUGAUGGCUUCAAAGCCACACCACUGCUUUUGCUAAAUUUUGUAUAUUGUUAUUCAAGAAAUGAGAAGAUUGAUAGGGCUUAGUGUUCUUGUGUUUUGUAAAUUUUUUAUAUAUGUUAUAAGAAACGAGAAGAUUGAUAGUUGUUUUAGUGUCUUUGUUUUCGCUAAAUUUUGUUAUAUUGUUAUCCAAUUAAAUGAGAGAUUGAUAGUGUUAUUAUGUGUUCUUUUUUGCCUAAAUUUUGUUAUUUUAUCAAGAAUGAGAAGAUUGAUAGUGUUAUUAGUGUUCUUGUUUUCCUAAAUUUUGUAUAUUGUUAUCAAGAAAUGAGAGAUUGUGUGUUGAUUAGUGUUCUUGUUUGUAAUUUUGUUAUAUUGUUAUCAAGGAAAUGAGAAGAUUGAGAGUGUUGUUAGUGUUUCUUGUUUGCUAAAUUUUGUAUAUAUAAAAAUGAGAAAUUGUAGUUUAUUGUGUUCUUGUUACAAGAAAUGUUUGACGCUGACCCUUUUAGCAAAACUCUCUAAAAUGAAAGGCUGCCAUGGGGGUUCUCCAUGGCUUCUGUUCAGUCAAAUAAGGAUAUGGAGAUCCAACCAAGUUCGGAUGUAAGUCAUGACGCACUGUUCGUUUGGAAUUUAAUGAUGGUUCAAAGGCCCCACCACCCUUCCUAUAUCCGUACGCGCAUCUUUAGGAACGUUAUUACGUGAGUUUCUUUGCUUCUUUUUACUUAGCAUACUUAUCGUAUAUUGUUAUCAGAAAAUGAGAAGAUUGAUAGUGUUAUUAGUGUUCUUGUUUUGCUUAAAUUUUGUAUAUUAUUAUCAAGAAAUGAGAAGAUUAUAGUGUUAUUAGUGUGUUGUUUGCUAAAUGUGUAUAUUGUUAUCAGAAAUGAGAGAUUGAUAGUGUUAUAGUGUUUUUUUCCGUGUUUUGCUAAAUUUUUGUUAUUGUUAUCAGAAAUGAGAAGAUUGAAUAGUGUAUAUUAGUGUUUUGUUUUGCUAAUUUUGAUAUUGUUAUAAGAAAUGAAGAUCGAUAGUCGUUUAUUUAGUGUUUCUUGUUUUUGCUAAAUUUUGUAUAUUGUUAUCAAGAAAUGAGAAGAUGAUGUGUUAUUAGUGUUCUUGUUUUGCUAAUUUUGUAUUUGUUAUCAAGAAAAUUGAAAUUUGAUAGUGUUAUUAGUGUUAUUGUUAUCAGAAUGUUUGACGUGACGUUUAGCAAAAACUCUCAAAAUGAAAGCAUUGCCAUGGGAAUUCUCAUGGCUCUUUCUCAGUCAAUAAGGAAUAUGGAAGUCACAACCAUGUCGCAUGCUAAGUCAUGACGCACUGUCCGUUUGAUUUAUGAUGGCUUUAAGCCCACACGCACUGCUUCCUAUAUGUACACCAUCUUAUUAGGACUCUAUACGUGAUUAUUUCUUUGCUUCUUUUUUCUUAGCAUACUAAUCUGUUAUUGUUAUCAAGAAAUAAGAAUAUUGAUAGUGUUAUUAGUGUUCUUAGUUUUGCUAAAUUUGAAUAUUUGUUAUCAAGAAAUAGAGAUGAUAGUGUUAUUAGGUUUUCUUUUGAUAUAAUUUUGUAUUUGUUAUCAAGAAUGAGAAGAUUGAUAGUGUUAUUAGUGUUCUUGUUUUUUUGUAAUUUUUGUAUAUUGUUAUCAAGAAACGACGAGAUUGAUAGUGUUAUUAGUUCUGUGUUUUGCUAAAUUUUGUAUAUUGUCAAGAAAUGAGACAGAUUGAUUAGUGUUAUUAGUGUUCUUUUUUGCAAAUUUUGUAUGAUUGUUAUCAUAAAAUUUGAAAGUAUUAGUGUUAUUAGUGUUAUAUUGUUAUCAAGAAAUGUUUGACGCUGACCCUUUAGCAAAAACUCUCAAAAAAUGAAGGCAUUGCCAUGGGGGAAUUCUCCAUGUCUUCUGUUUCAGUAAAUAAGGGAUAUUUGGAAGAUUUCACAACCAAGCCGAUGUAGUCAUGACGAUUGAUAGUUUUUAUUAGUGUGUUUUUUGUUUUACUUAAAUUUUGUUUAUUUUGUAUCAAGAUAAUGAGAAGAUUGAUGGUGGUAUUAGCUGUUCUUUUUUGCUAAAUUUGUAUAUUGUAUCAAGAAAUGAGUAAGAUUGAUAGUGUUAUUAGUGUUCUUGUUUUGUUGCUACAAUCUUUUGUAUAUUGUUAUCAAGAAAUGAGAGAUUUGAUAGUGUUAUUUGUUUCUUGUUUUUCAAAUUUGUAAUUGUAUUCAAGAUAAUGAGAAGGUUGAUAGUGUUAUUAGUGUUCUUGUUUUGCUUAAAUUUGUUUAUAUUUAUCCAAUUAAAUGAGAAGAUUGAUAGUGUUAUUAGUGUCCUAUUAUCAAGAAACGUUGACGCUGGAUCUCCUUUAGAAAAAUCUCUCAAAAAAUGAAAGGCAUUUGCUCAUAGGAAUUCUCCAUGGCUUCUUUAAGUCAAAUAAGGGAGUUAUGGAAGAUCACAACCAAGUCGAUGUAAAGGCAUGAUCGCUCUUUGUUCGUUUGAAUUUAUGAUGGCUUCAAAUGGCGGCCACCCAUUUCUACUUCUUAUAAUUCGUAGACACAUCUUAGGUACUCUAAUUACGUGAGUUAUUUCUUUGCUUCUUUUUUCUUAGCAUACUAAUAUGUAUAUCUGUUAUCAAGAAUGAGAAGAUUGAUCCAUUGUGUUAUUAGUUGUUCUUGUUUUGCUUAAUUUUGUAUUAUUUGUUAUAAGAAAUGAGAGAUUGAUAGUGUUAUUAGUGUUCUUGAUUUUGCUACAAUUUUUAUAUUUGUUAUCAGAAAUGAGAGAUUAUAGUGUGAUUAGUGUUCUUGUUUUGCUAAAUUUUGUAUAUUAUUCAAGAAAUGAGAACAGAAAUUGAUAAUGUAUUAGUGUUCUUGUGUUGUUUAAAUUUUGUUAGUAUUGUUUAUCAAAACUGAAGUAAGAUUGAUAGUGUUAUUUAGUGUUCUUUGGGCUAAAUUUGUAUUUGAUAUUCAAGAAAUGGAGAAAUGAUAGUUUUUAGGGUUCUUGUUUUGCUAAAUUUUGUAUAUUGUUAUCAAGAAAUGAGAAGGAUUAUAGUUGUUAUUUGUGUCUUGUUUUUGCUAAAUUUGUAAUUAUUGUUAUCCAAGAAUGAGAAGAUUGAUAGUUAGUGUUAUUAGUGUUCUUGUUUUGCUAAAUUUUGUUAUAUUGUUAUUCUAAGAAAUAGGAAGGUUGAUAUUGUUAUUGUGUUUUGUUUUGUUAAAUUUUGUAUAUUGUUAUCAAGAAUGAGAGAUUGAUAGUGUUAUUGUGUUCUUGUUUUACUAAAAUUUAUAUAUUUAUCAAUUAAACAGAAAGAUUGUAGUUUAUUAGUGUUCGUGUUUUUUGAUUGUAUCAUAGAAGUUGUAGGUUAUUAGUGUUUGUUGUAUUAUCAUUGUUACAGAAAUGAGAAGAUUGAUAGUUUAUUAGUUGUUCUGGUUUUGACUAAGUUGUAUAUACAAAUAGUUGAUAUUUGUUCUAUGGCAAUGAUUUGUUAGAAUGAGUUGAUGAUAAUGGUGUGACGUGUUGUGUUUUUGCUAAUAAUUUUUUGUUAUCAAGAAACGAGAGAUUGAAGUGUAUUGUGUCUUGUUUUGUAAAUUGUUAUAAUUGUUAUCAAGAAGAGAAGAUUGAUAUUGUUAUUAGUGUUCUGUGUUUGCUAAAUUUUGUAUAUGUUAUCAAGAAAGACGAAGAUUGAAGUGUUAUUAGUGUUCUUUGUUGCUAACUUUUGUAAUAUGUUAUCAGAAAGAGAAGAUGGUAGGUUAUUAGUGUUCUUGUUUUGCUAAAUUUUGGUAUAUGUGUUAUGCAGAAAUAGGAGGUGAUAUGUUAUUAGUGUCUUGCUUGUUUUCCUAAAUUUUGAUAUUGUUAUAAUAGGAUGUUAGCUUGUUUUCGUGUGUACAAGAAAUGAGAAGAUGAUUAGAUGUUUUAGUGUUUUUGUUCUGCUAAUUUUGUAAUAUUGUUUACAAGAAAUAGAAGAUUGUAGUGUUUAUUGUGUUCUAUUUUUGCUAAAUUUUUUAUAUUGUAUCAUGAGAUGUGUUUUACUAUUCUAAUGAAUUAUAGAACAGAGCAGAUGAAGUUUCUGUCUUGUUUUGCAAUUUUGUCAUAUUGUGUAUAGCAGAAGGAGAUGAUCAUGUUUCAUUAGUGUUCUUGUUUUGCUAAAUUUGGAUCUUUUCAAGAAAUAGACGAUUGAAUAGUGUGAUUAGUGUUCUGCUUUUGCUAAAUUUGUAAUAUUGUUAUCCAGAAAUGAGAAGAUUGAUAUGUAUUAGUGUCUUUUUUGCUAAAUUUUGUAUAUCGUUAUCAAAUAAAUGAGAAGAUUGAUAGUGUUAUUAGUGUUCUUGUUUGCAAAUUUUGUAUAUUGACUAUCACGAAAUGGAGAAGUGAUAGGUAUUAGUGUUGUUUGCUAAAUUUUGUAUAUUGGUUACAAGAAAUGAGGAGAAUUGAUUAGUGUAUUUGUGUUCUGUUUUGGCUAAAUUUUAUUUGUUAUCAAGAUAUCAAAGAUUGAUAGUGUAUUAGUGUCUUGUUUGCUAAAUUGUAAUAUGCUUAUCAGAGAUGAGAGAAGUGAUAAGUGCGUUAAUUAGUCUUUGUUGUUUAAAUUUAUAAUUGUUAUAAGAAAGAAGAAGAUUGAUAGGUUAUUGUGUUUUCUGCUGUUUUCUAAAUUUCUGUGUAUAUAUGUUAUCAGAAAUGGAGAAGAUUGAUAGUGUUAUUAGGUUCUUGUUUCCUAAAUAUUUUGUUUUGUUAUCCAGAAUUGAGAAGAUUAGAUAGUGUUAUUAGUGUUUUGUUUUGUAUUUGUUAUAUUGUUAUCAAGAAAUGGAAGUAUUGAUAGUGUUUAUUAUUGUUCUUUUUGUAAUUUUUAUUGUUAUCAAGAAUGAGAAGAUGAUAGUGUUAUUAGUGUUCUGUUUUGCUAUUUGUAUAUUGUUAUAAUGAACAUGAGAAGAUAUGAUAGUGGUUAUUUAGUGUUCUUGUUUUUGUCCUAAUUUGUAUAGUUGUUAUCAGAAAUGAGAAGAUUGUUUGAUAGUGUUAUUAGUGUUCUUGUUUUGCUAAAUUUGUAUAUUGUUAUCACGAAAUUUGAAACAUUGUUAGUGUUAUAUAGUGUUUAUUGUAUCAGAAAUGUUUUGGCUGACUAUUAAAAUUCAUAAUGAAAUGGACCACUGCCAUGUGGAUUGCCUACUGUUCUUGUCUUCGUGCUAAAUUGAAUAGAUUACAACCAAUGAGAAGAUUGACGCACUGUUCUGAAUUAGUGUUAAACCCCAUUGCUUUACUAUUCGAGCCAUUGUAUAGUCUCUAUUAAGACGUUGAGAAGUAUUGAUAGUUGCUUCUUUAUACCAAUAUUGUGGCAAGCAUGAGGUUGAUCUUUUUUGGUUUUUUGCUAAUUUUGAUUAUUGUUAUCAAGAAUGAGAAGAUGGUAGUGUUAUUAGUGUUCUUGUUUUUGCUAAUUUGUUAUUGUUAUCAGGAAUUGAAGAUUGUAGUUAUUAGUGUUCUUGUUUUGCCUAAAAUUUUGUUAUGUAUUUUCAAGAAUUUGGAAGAUUGCAUAGUGUUAUUAGUGUUCUUGUUUUGCUAAAUUUUGUAUAUAUGUUUAUUCAAGAAAUGAAAGAUUGAUAAGUGCUUUUAGUGUUUCUUGUUUCUAAAUUUUGUAUAUUGUUUAUCAAGAAAUGAGAGAUUGAUGUGUUAUUAGUGUUCUUGUUUUGCUAAAUUUGUUAUUGUUAUCAAGAAAUGAGAGAUUGAUAGUGUUUAGUUUUUGUUUUGCUAAAUUUUGUAUAUUGUUAUCAAGAAAGAGAAGUUGAUAGUGUAUUAGUGUUUUUGUUUUAAAUUUUGUAUAUUGUUAUCAAAAAAUGAGAAGAUUGAUAGUGUUUUUAGUGUUCUUGUUUUGCUAAAUUUUGUAUAUUGUUAUCAAAGAAAUGAGAAGAUUGAUAGUGUUAUUAGUGUUCUUGUUUUGCUAAAUUUUGUAUUAUGUUAUCAGAAAUGAAAGAUUGAUAUGUUAUUAGUUUCUUGUUUGCUAAAUUUUGUAUAUUGUUAUCAAAAAUGAGAAGAUGUAGUGUUAUUAGUGUUCUUGUUUUUGCUAAAUUUGUAUAUUGUUAUCAAGAAAGAGAAGAUUGAUAGUGUUAUUAGUGUUCUUGUUUUGCUAAAUUUGUAUAUUGUAUCAAGAAAUGAGAAGAUUGAUAGUGUUAUUAGUGUUCUUGUUUUGUAAAUUUGUAUAUUGUUAUCAAGAAAUAAAGAUUGAAUGUUUAUUAUUUCUCUUUUGCUAAAUUUUGUAUAUGUUAUCAAGAAAUGAGAAGAUUGAUAGUGUUAUUAGUGUUCUUGUUUUGCUAAAUUUGUAUAUUGUUAUCAAGAAAUGAGAAGAUUGAUAGUGUUUUAGUGUUCUUGUUUUGCUAAUUUUGUAUAUUGUUAUCAAGAAUGAGAAGAUUGAUAGUGUUAUUAGUGUUCUUGUUUUGCUGCUAAAUUUUGUAUAUUNNNNNNNNAGAGAGACUCGUUUUGCUAUAUUUUGUAUAUUGUUUAUCAAAUGCAAAUAAGGAGACUUGAUAGUUUAUUAGUUGUAAUUUUGGCCAAAUUUUUCGUAUAAUUUUUUAUCAAGCCCACAGUGAGAAGAUUGUUAUGUGUAUGAUUGUUUCUUUUUUGCUAAAUUUUGUAUAUGUGUAUCAAGGAAAACUGAUGAAGAUUGAUAGUGUUUUAUUAGUGUUCUCUUUGUUUUCACUAAAUUUUGUAUAUGUUAUCCCAGAAAUGAGAAGAUUGAUAGUAGUUAUCUUGUGUUCUUGUUUUGCAAUCCUGCAUUUGUUAUCAAAGAAUGAGAAGCUUGAUAGUGUUAAUUUAGUCGUUCUUGCUCUGCUAAAUUUGUAUAUUAUUUACUCAAGGACCAUGAGAAGGCUUAAUAUGUUAUUGGCAAGUGGUUCUUAGUUUUGCUAAAUAUUGUAUACGUGUUAUCAGAAAUGAGAAGAUUUGAUAGUGUUCUUAGUGUUUUGUUUGCUAAUUUACUGUACUAUUUGUUAUCAAGAAAUGACGAAGAUUGUAUUGUUCAUUAGUGUUCUUGUUUUGCUAAAUUUUGCUAUUUGUUAUAAGACAAGAGAAGAUUGAUAGUGUUUUGUAUUCAGUGUUCUUGUUUUGCAAAUUUGUAUACUUGUUAUCAAGAGAAGUGAGAAGAUGUUCGUGGGUCUAUUAGUGGUUGCUUGUUUGCUAAAUUUUGUUAAUUGUUAUCAAAGAAAUGAAAAUGGAUUGAUUAGUGUUAUUCGUGUUCUUGUUUGCUGAAAUUUGUAUAUCUGUUGUCAAGAAAAUUAGAAUUAUUGAAAAGUGUUAUUAGUGUUCUUGUUUUGCUAAAUUUUGUAUAUUGUUAUCACACAGACUAAGAGAAAUUGAUCCCAGUGCUUAUUAGUGUUUCUUGUUUUUUUAAUAUUCUGUAUUUGGUUAUCAAGAAAUGAGAAGAUGUGAAAGUUAGUUAAUUCUAGUCUGCCAUUCGUCUUUUGCUAAAUUUUUGGUAAUGUUAUGCGGAGAAAUGAGCAGAUUAGGGAUAUCUACUUCAUUAAGUGUUCUUUGUUUUGCUGAACUUGUAUAUUUUAUCAUAGAAUCAGCAACGAUGAUAGUGUUAUUAGUGUUCUUUUUUUCUAAAUUUUGGUAUAUUUUUAUCAGAAAUGAGAAGAUUGAUAGUGUUAUAAUAUUCUUGUUUUGCAUAAAUUUUGUUAUAUUAAUUUAUCAAGACAUCAGAGAUUGAUGUCAGUUCAAUUCAGUGUUCUGGUGUCUGUACGUAAAUUUUAUAUUGUUAUCAAGAAAUCAGACACGCAUUGAAGUGUUCCACUUACUGUUCUUGUUUUGCAUAAAUUUUGUAUAACUUCGUGUGAUCCUAACGAAAUGCAGUAGACUUGAUAGUGGUUAUUUAGUGUCUUGUUUUGUUCAUCAAUUGUUGUUUAUUGCUGGUUUAGGCAAAGAAUUUGAGAACGACAUUGAGAGUGUUGAUUCUCUUAGUGUCUGGGGUUUUGCAUAAAGGUUGGAUAUGUAUAUUGUUCGCUCAUAUCAAGAAUGGAAGAGCCGAGGAGUAGUUCAUCUAAGUUCGAUCGCCAAUUGCGUUGGCACUAGAGACUUAGGUGUAUAUGGUUGCAGACUCAACGCAGAUUAAAGACUUGGAUAACUGUUUAUUAGUGUUCCUUGAGAUAUCUGCAAAGUCUAUAAAUUUUGUUAUUUGCAAUAUAAGAAAUGAGAAGAUUGAUAGGUUAUUAGUUUUCUGUUUUGCUAAAUUUUUGUAUAUUUUAUCAAAAUGAGAAGAUGUAGUGUUUAUAGUGUUCUUGUGUUGCUAAAUUUGUAUAUUGUUAUCAAGAAAUGAGAAGAUUGAAUAGUGUUAUUAGUGUUCUUGUUUGCUAAAUUUUGUAUAUUGUUAUCGAAGAAAUGAGAAGAUUGAUAGUGUUAUAGUGUUCUUGUUUUGCUAAAUUUUGUAUAUUGUUAUCAAGAAUGAGAAGAUGAUAGUGUUUAUUAGUGUUCUUUUUUGCUAAUUUUGUAUAUUUUUAUCAAGAAAUGAGAAGAUUGAUAGUGUUAUUAUGUUCUUGUUUGCUAAAUUUGUAUUAUUAUUAUCAAGAAAUGAGAAGAUUGUAGUGUUAUUAGUGUUCUGUUCUAAAUUUUGUAUAUUGUUAUCAAGACAAUGAGAAGAUUGAUAGUGUUAUUAGUGUUCUUGUUUUGGCAAAAUUUUGUAUAUUGUUAUCAGAAAUGAGGAUUGAUAGUGUUAUUAGUGUUCUUGCUUUUUGCUAAAUUUUGUAUAUUGUUAUCAAAGAAAUGAGAAGAUUGAUAGUGUUAUUAGGUCUUGUUUUGCUAAAUUUUGUAUAUUGUUAUCAAGAAAUGAGAAGAUUGAUAGUGUUAUUAGUGUUCUUGUUUUGCUAAAUUUUGUAUAUUGUUAUCAAGAAAUGAGAGAUUGAUAGUUAUUAGUGUUCUUGUUUUGCUAAAUUUUUAUAUUGUUAUAAAGAAAUGAAGAAGAUUGAUAGUGUUAUUAGUUCUUGUUUUGCUAAAUUUUGUAUAUUGUUUAUCAGAAAUGAGAGAUUGAUAGUGUUAUUAGUUUUCUGUUUGCUAAAUUUGUAUAUGUUAUCAAGAAAUGAGAAGAUGAUAGUGUUAUGUAGUUUCUUGUUUUGCUAAUUUUGUAUAUUGUUAUCAAGAAAUGAGAGAUUGGAUAGUUUUUAUUAGUGUUCUUGUUUUGCUAAAUUUGUAUAUUGUUAUCAAGAAAAUGAGAAGAUUGAUAGUGUUAUUAGUGUUCUUGUUUUGCUAAAUUUUGUAUAUUUGUUAUCAAGAAAUGAGAAGAUUGAUAGUGUUAUUGUUCUGUUUUGCUAAAUUUUGUAUAUGUUAGUCAGAAAUUGAGAAGAUUGAUAGUGUUAUUAGUGUUCCUUGUUUUGCUAAAUUUGUAUUUGUUUAUCAAGAAAUGAGAAGAUUGAUAGUGUUAUUAGUGUUCUGUUUUGCUAAAUAUUUGUAUAUUGUAUCUAAGAAAUGAGAAGAUUGAUAGUGUAUUAGUGUCUUGUUUUGCUAAAUUUUGUAUAUUGUUAUCAAAAUGAGAAGGUUGAUAGUGUUAUUAGUGUUCUGUUUUGCUAAAUUUGUAUAUUGUUAUCAAGAAAUGAGAAGAUUGAUGUGUUAUUAGUGUUCUUGUUUGCUAAUUAUGUAUAUGUUAUCAGAAUGUUAUGUUUUAUGCUUGUUGUAAAUUGAUAUGAUCAGAAGAGAAGUUGAUAGUUUAUAGUUCGUCUGUUUGCUAUUUUGUAUAUGUUAUCUAGAAAUGAGAAUGAUUGAUAGUUUAUUAGUCCUUGUUUGCUAAAUAUUGGUAUAUUGUUACAGAAAUGAAAGAUUGAAUGUUAUUAGUGUUCUUGUUUGCUAAAUAGUGUAUAUUUAUCAAGAAAUGAGAAGAUUGAUAGUGUUAUUAGUGUUUUGUUUGCUAAAUUUUGUAUAUUGUUAUCAAAAGAAUGAGAAGAUUGAUGUGUAUUAGUGUUCUUGUUUGCUAAAUUGUAUUGUUAUAAAUGAAAAUUGAAGUGUAUUAGUGUUCUUGUUUGCUAAAUUUUUGUUAUAUUGUUAUCAAGAAAUGAGAAGAUUGAUAGUGUUAUUGUGUUACUUGUUUUGCUAAAUUUUGUAUAUUGUUAUCAAGAAAUGAGAAGAUUGAAGUGUUAUUAGUGUUCUUGUUUUGCUAAUUUUGUAUAUUGUUAUCAAGAAAUGAGAAGAUGAUAGUGUUAUAAGUGUUCUUGUUUUUGCUAAAUUUGUAUAUUGUUGUCAAGAAAUCAGAAGAUGAACGAUGUUUAUUAGUGGUUCUUGUUUGCUAAAUUUUUUAUAUUGUUAUCAAGAAAUGAAGAAGACUCUGAUAGUAGUUAUUAGUCCGUUCUUGUUUUGCUAAAUGUUUUGUAUAUUUUAUCAAACAGAAUGAGAAGAGUUGAAAUAGUGUUAUUAGUGUUCUUUUUUGUAAAUUUGUAUAUUGUUAUCAAGAAAUGAGAAGAUUGAUAGUGUUAUUAGUGUUCUUGUUUUGCUAAAUUUUGUAUAUUGUUAUCAAGAAAUGAGAAGAUUGAUAGUUGGUAUAUAGUGUUCUUGUUUUCUCCAAAAUUUUUGUAUACUUGUUAUCAAGAAAUGAGAAGAUUGAUAGUGUUUUAUACUGUUCUUGUUUGGGGCGAAUUUUGUAUAUUGUGUAUCACAAGAAAUGAGUAAGAUUGAUUAGUGUUAUUAGGUUUUCUUGUUUUGGCUAAUAUUUGUUUAUUGUGUAUCAAGAAAUUGAGAAGAUUGAUAGUGUUAUUAGUGGUUUUGUUUUGCUAAAUUUUGUAUAUUGUUAUCAAAGAAUGAAGAGAUUGAUGUGUUAUUAGUGUUUGUUUUGCAAAGUUUGUAAUUUUUAUCAAAAAUGAGAAGAUCUGAGUAGGGUUAUAUGUCUUGUUUUGCUAAGUUCUAUAGUAUUGUUAGUCAAAGAAAUGAGAAGAUGAAUAGGGUUAUUAGUAUUCUGUUUUUGCUAAAUUGUAUAUUGUUAUUAGAAAUGAGAAUGAACUAGUGUUAAUUUGUCUUGUUUUGCUAAAUUUUGUAUAUGUUAUCAAGAAAUGAGAAGAUUGAUAGUGUUUAUAGUGUUCUUGUUUUGCAAAUUUGUAUAUUGUUAUCAGAAUGAGAAAUUGAUAGUGUUAUUAGUGUUUGUUUUGCUAAAUUUUGUAUAUUUUAUCAAGAAAUGAGAUAGUGAAAGUGUUUUAUUUUUUUUUUGCAAAAUUUUGUAUAUUGUUAUCAAGAAUGAGAAGAUUGUAGUGGUUAUUAGUGUUCUUGUUGCUAAAUUUUGUAUAUUGUUAUCAAGAAAUGAGAAGAUUGAUAGUUUAUUAGUGUUCUUGUUUUGACCUAAAUUUUGUAAUAUUGUUAUUCAGAAAUGAGAAAUUGAUUAGUGUUAUUAGUGUUCGUUGUUUUGCUAAAUAUUGUAUAUUGUUAUCAAGAAUGAGAAAUUGAUAGUGUUAUUAGUGUUCUUGUUUUGCUAUAAUUUUGUAUAUUGUUUCAGAAUGAGAAUAGUUGAUAGUGUAUUAAUUUUGAUGUUCUUGUUGUGCUAAUAUUGUCUAUUGUUAUCAGAAAUGAGAAGCUGUAGUGUUAUUCGUGGUCUUGUUUUGCUAAUUUUGUAUAUUGUUCUAAGAAAAUGAGAAGAUUUGAUAGUUGUUUAUUAGUUGUUCUUUUUUGCUAAAUUUUGUAUUGUUAUCAGAAAUGAGAAGAUUGAUAGUGUUAUUAGUGUUUGUUUUGCUAAAUUUUGUAUAUUGUUAUCAAGAAAUAGAAAUUGGUAGUGUUAUUAGUGUCUUGUUUUGCUAAAUUUUGUAUAUUGUUAUCAAGAAAUGAGAAGAUUGAUAGUGUUUAGUGUUCUUGUUUUGCUAAAUUUUGUAUAUUGUUAUAGAAAUGAAAUUGAAAGUGUUAUUAGUGUUCUUUGUUUUGUAAAUUUGUGUAUUGGUUUAUCAAGAAUAGAGAAGAUUGAUAGUGUUAGUAGUGUUCUUGUUUGCUGAAUAUUGUAUAUUGUUAUCAAGAAAUGGAGGAUUGAAAGAUGUUAUUAGGUCUGUGCUUGGUUUUGCUGAAAUUUUGUAUAUUGUUAGCAAGAAAUGAGAAGAUGAUAGUAUUCAUUAAGUGUUCUUGUUUUGCUAAAUUUGUAUAUUGUUAUCAAGAAAUGAAAGAUUGCUAGUGGUUAUUAGUGUUCGUUUUUUCUAAAAUUUUGUAUAUUUUUAUCAAGAAAUGAGAAGAUGAUAGUGUUAUUAAUGUUCUUGUUUGCUAAAUUUUGUAGUAUAAUUAUCAAGAAUAUGAGGCAAGAUUGAGUAGUGUUUAUAGUGUUUUGUUGGGUUACUAAAUUUGUUCUUGUUAAAAAAAAUAGAAGAUUGAUAGUGUUAUUACUGUUCUGUGUUUUGCAAAAUUUUGUAUAUUGUUUCAAAGAAAUGAGUAGCCUUGAUAGUGUUAUUAGUUUCUGUUUUGCUAAAUUUGUAUAUUGUUUAUCAAGAAAUGAGAAGAUUGAUAGUGUUUUAGGUGUCUUGUUUUGCUAAAUUUGUAUAUUGUUACAAGAAAUGAGAAGAUGAUAGUUUAUUUAGUGUUAUUGUUUUGCUAAAUUUGUAUAUUGUUAUCAAAGAAAAUAAGAAGAUUGAUAGUGUUAUUAGUGUUUCUUGUUUCUAAAUCUAUAUAGUUGUUAUCAAGGAAAUGAGAAAUGAUAGGGUUAUGAGUAUUGCGAGUGUUUUGCUAAUUUGUAUAUUGUAUCCCAGAAAUGAAAGAUUGAUAGUGGUUUAAUUAGUGGUUCAUUGUUUGACCCUAAUUGUGUAUUAUUGUUAUCAGAAAUGAGAGAUUGAUCGUGUUAUUAGUCCUUCUUGUUUUGCUAAAUUUUGUAUAUUGUUAUCAAGAAAUGAGAAGAUUGCAUAGUUUUUAAUUAGUGUUCUUAGUUUGCUAAAUUUUGGUAUAUGUUAUCAAGAAAUGAGAAGAAUUGAUAGUGUUAUUAGUGUAUUUUUUGCAAAAUUUGUAUAUUUUUAUCAAGAAAUGGAGAAGAUUGUUAGUGUUAUGAACUGUCCUUGGUUUUGCCUAAAUUUUGUAAUAUUGUUAUCAGGACAUGAGAAGAUUGAUAAGUGUUAUCAGUGUCUUGUUUUCCUAAAUUUGUAUAUUGUUAUCCAGGAAAUGAGAAAGAUUGAUAGUGUUAUUAGUGUUUUCUUGUUUUGCUAAAUAUUGUAUAUGUUAUCAAGAAAUGAGAAGCUUGAUAGUGUUGAUGUAGUCGUCUUGUUUUGCUAAUUGUGUAUAUUUUAUUCAAGAAAGAGAAGGUUGAUAGUGUUAUUAGUGUUCUUGUUUGUAAAUAUUGUAAUUGUGUUACGAGAAAUGAGGAAGAUUGAUAGUGUUAGUAGGUUUGUUUUGCUAAAUGUCAUGUAAAGGUUGUUAUCAAAGAAAGUGAGAAGAGAUAUUGUUAUUUAGUGUUCUUGUUUUGCUAAAGUUUUGUAUAUUGUUUAUCAGAAAUGAGAAAGAUUGAUAGUGUUAUUAGUGUUCUUGUUGCUAAAUUGUAUAUUGUUAUAAGAAAUGAAAGAUUGGGUAGUGUUCAUUAAGUUGUUCUUGUUUGCUAAAUUUUGUUUGAUUGUUAUCAAGAAAUGAGAAGAUUGAUAGGUUAUUAGUGUUCUUGUUUUGCUGAAAUUUUGUAUAUUUUGUCAAGAAAUUUAGAAUAUUGAACGUGUUAUUAGUGUUCUUGUUUUUUGCUAAAUUUUGUAUAUUGUUCUCAAGAAAAGAGAAGAUUGAUAGUGUUAUAGUGUCUUGUUUUUCUAAUAUGUUAUAAUGUUAUCAAGAAAUGAGAGAUGAAGUAUGUUAUUAGUUUUCUUGUUUUGCUAAAUUUUUGAUUGUUACAGAAUGAGAAGAUUGAAUAGUUUAUUAGUUUCUUGUUUUGGCUAAAUUUGUAUAUUGUUAUCAAGAAAUGAGAAGAUUGAUGUGUAAUAGUGUUCUUUUUUCUAAAUUUUGUAUAUUUAUCAAGAAAUGAGAAGAUUGAUAGUGUUAUUAGUGUUCUUGUUUUGUAAAUUUUGUAUAUAUUCAAGAAUGAGAAGAGUUGAUAGUGUUAUUAGUGUUCUUUGUUUUCUAAAUGUUUAUAUGUUAUCAAGAAAUGAGAAGAUUGAUAGUGUUUACUGUUCUUGUUUUGCAAUUUUGUAUAUUUGUUAUCAAGAAAUGAGAGAUUGAUAGUGUGAUUAGUGUUCUUGUUUGCUAAAUUUGUAUAAUUGUUAUCAAGAAAAUGAGAAGAUUGAUUAGUGUUAUUAGUGUUCUUGUUUUGCUAAAUUUGUAUAUUGUUAUCAAGAAAUGAGACGAUGAUAUGUUAUUAGUGUAUUAGGUUUUGCAAAUUUUUAUAUUGUAUCAAGAAAUAAGAUGAUGUGUAUUAGUGUUCUUGUUUUUGCUAAAUUUGUAUAUUGUUAUCAAAAAUGAGAAGAUUGAUAGUGUUAUUAGUUUCGUUUGCUAAAUUUUGUAUAUUGUUAUCAGAAAUGAGAAGAUUGAUAGUGUUAUUAGUGUUCUUGUUUUGCUAAAUUUUGUAUAUUGUUAUCAAGAAAAUGAGAAGAUUGAUAGUGUUAUUAGUCUUCUUGUUUUGCUAAAUUGUAUAUUAGUUAUCAAGAAAUGAGAAAUUGAUAUAGUUUUAUAGUGUCUUUGUUUGCUAAAUUUUGUAUAUUGUUAUCAAGAAUGAGAAGGAUUGAUAUAGUUUAUUAGUGUUUAUGUUUUGCAUAAAUUUGUAUUGUUAUCAAGAACUGAGUAAGAUGAUAGGUUAUGAUUUGUUCUUAGUUUGCUCUAACAUUUUGUAUAUGUUAUCAAAGAAAUGGAAGAUUGAUAGUGUUAUUAGUGUUCUUGUUUGCUAAAUUUUGUAUAUUGUUAUUCAAAGAAAUGAGAACGAUCUGAUAGUGUAUAUUACGGUUCGGGUGUGUUUUGCUAAUAUUGUAUAUUGUUAUCAAGAAAUGAGUAGAUUGAUAGUGUUAUUAGUUUCUUGUUUGCUAAAAUUUGUAAUAUUGUUAUCAAGAAAUGAGAAGAUUGAUAGUUUAUUAGUGUUUUUUUUUCUAAAUUUUGUAUUUUUUUCAAGAAAUGAGAAGUUGAUAGUGUAUUAGUGUUCGUUGUUUGCUAAAUUUGUAUAUUGUUAUCAAAAAUGAGAAGAUUGAUAGUGUUAUUAGUUUCUUGUUUUGCUAAAUUUUGUAUAUUGUUAUCAAGAAAUAGAAAAUUGAUAGUGUUAUUAGUGUUCUUUUUGCUAAAUUUUGUAUUGUUAUAAGAAAUGAGAAGUUGAUAGUGUUAUGAGUCGUCUGUUUGCUAAAUUUUGUAUAUGUUAUCAGAAAAGAAGUUGAUAGUGUUUAGUGUCUUGUUUGCUAAUUAUUGUAUAUUUAUCAAGAAAUGAGAAGAUUGAUAGUGUUAUUAGUGUUCUUGUUUUGCUAAAUUUGUAUAUUGUUAAUCAAAAAUGAGAAGAUUGAUAUUGUUUAGUGUUUCUUGUUUGCUAAUUUUGUAUAUUGUUAUCAAGAAAUGAGAAGAUUGAAGUGUUAUUAGUGUUCUUUGUUUUGCCUAAAUUUUGUAUAUUGUUAUCAAGAAAUGAGAAGAUUGUAGUGUUAUUAGUGUCUUGUUUUGCUAAAUUUUGUAUAUUGUUAUCAAGAAAUGAGAAGAUUGAUAGUGUAUUAGUGUCUUGUUGCUAAAUUUUGUAUAUUGUUAUCAAGAAAUAGAGAUUGAUAGUGUUAUUAGUGUUCUUGUUUUGCUAAAUUUGUAUAUUGUUAUCAAGAAAUGAGAAGAUUGAUAGUGUUAUUAGUGUUCUUGUUUUGCUAAUUUUGUAAUUGUUAUCAAGAAAUGAGAAGAUUGAUAGUGUAUUAGUGUUCUUGUUUUGCUAAAUUUUGUAUAUUGUUAUCAAGAAAUGAGAAGUUGAUAGUGUUAUUAGUGUUCUUGUUUUGCUAAUAUUUGUAUAUGUUAUCAAGAAAUGAGAAGAUUGAUAGUGUUAUUAGUGUUCUUUUUGCUAAUUUGUAUAUGUUAUCAAGAAAUGAGAAGAUUGAUAGUGUUAUUAUGUUCUUUUUGCUAAAUUUUGUAUAUUGUCUAUCAAGAAAUGAGAAGAUAAUAGUGUAUUAGUGUUCUGUUUUGCUAAUUUUUGUAAAUUUAUUAUCAAGAAUGAGAAGAUUGAUAGUGUUAUAGUGUUCUUGUUUUGCUAAAUUUGUAUAUUGUUAUCAAGAAAUGAGAAGAUUGAUAGUGUUAUUUGUGUUUGUUUGCUAAAUUUUGUAUAUUGUUAUCAAGAAAUGAGAAGUUGAUAGUGUUAUUAGUGUUCUUGUUUGCUAAAGUUUGUAUAUUGUAAUCAAGAAAUGGAGAAGAUUGAUAGUUUAUUAGUGUUCUUGUUUUGUAAUUUUGUAUUUGUUAUCAAGAAUGAGAAGAUUGAUGUGUUAUUAUGUUCUUGUUUUGCUAAUUUUGUAUAUUGUUAUCAAGAAAUGAAGAAGAUUGAUAGUGUUAUUAUGUUCUUGUUUGCUAAUUUUUUAUAUUGUUAUCAAGAAAUGAGAAAUGAUAGUGUUAUUAGUGUUCUGUUUGCUAAAUUUGUAUAUUGUUAUCAAGAAAUAGAAUAUUAGUGUUAUUAGUGUCUUUGUUUUUGCUAAAUUUUGUUAUAUUGUUAUCAGAAAUGAGAAGAUUGAUUGUUAUUAGUGUUCUUGUUUUGCUAAAUUUGUAUAUUGUUAUCAAGAAAUUGAGAGAUUGAUAGUGUUAUUAGUGUUUUUGUUUUGCUAAAUUUUGUAUUUGUUAUCAAGAAUGAGAAGAUUGAUAGUGUUAUUAGUGUUCUUGUUUUGCUAAAUUUUGUAUAUUGCUUAUCAAGAAAUGAGAAGAUUGAUAGUGUUAUUAGUCUUCUUUGUUUUGCUAAAUUUUGUAUAUUGUUAUCAAGAAAUGCAGAAGAUUGGUUUAGUGUUAUAGUGUUCUUGAUUUGCUAAAUUUUGUUAUAUUGUUAUCAAGAAAUGAGAAGAUAUGAUUUAGUUGUUAUUAGUGUUCUUCGUUAUGCAUAAUCUAAUCUCGUAUAUUGUUAUCAAGAAAUUGAGAAGAUUUGAUAGGGCUGUUAUUAAGUUCUUGUUUUGCCUAAAGUUUUGUAUAGUUGUUAUCAGAGAAUGAGAAGAUUUGAUAGUGUUAUUAGUGUGUCUUGUUUUGCUAAUAUGUUAUAUGUAUCAAUGUAAGUGAUAUUUAUAUUCUUCAUAUUUUAAUUUAAGAAAUGAGAAGGAUUGAUAGUGUUAUUAGGUUCUUUUUUGGCUAAAUUUGUAUAUUGUUCAAGAAAGGAGAAAUGAGAGUUAAGUGUUAUAGUGUUCGUUGUUUGCUAAAAUAUUGUUUAUAUUAUCAAGAAUGAGAAGAUGAUAGUGUUAUUAGUGUUCUUUUUGUUUAUGAAGCUAAAUUUUGACCUGACUUAGAUUUCUGAAAAUUGAAACAUUGGAUGGGAUAUUAUGCGCGUUCUGUUUCUCAAAAUGUUUGCUAUCUGAGAUACAACCAACAUAGCAUGAGACGUUCGAUAUUUGAUUAUGAUGGCUUCAAGUGCUUUUCUACACCUGUACUGCCGUUGUAUCAAAAUGUUGAUAUUUGUGCGUACGUGCUUUUUGUACAUUGUAAAAGAGGGAAGUUGAUAAGUGUUAUUUCUUGGUUUCUUGUUUGCAUAACUUAUAUGUUAUAUUGUUAUCAAGAGAAAUGGUAGAUUGAUAGGUGUUAUUAUUGUGUUUGUUUUGGCUAUAAUUUUGUAUAUUAAUUAUUCAAGAAAUGAGAAGAUUGAUAGUGUUAUUACGUUUCUUCUUGUUGUAAAAUGUUUGUAUUUGACUAUCAAGAAAUGAGAAGGAUUGAUGAGUGUAUUAGUUAUGUUCUUGUUUGUUCUUAAAUUUUGAUAUUGUUAUCGAUGAGAAAAUGUUAGAAGAUUGAUAGUGUUAUUAGUUUUCUUGUUUUUAAUCAAAUAAAUUUGCUAUAUUGUUCAUCAAGAAUAGAACGUAUAGUGUUAUACGCUGUCUUUGCAUUCUAACUUAAAAUGGUAAUAUUCGUCACUCAAGAGGGAAUGCAGAUUCGAUGUGUUUUAGAUGUUCUGUUUCUGUAAAUUUGUAUAUUGUUAUCAAGAACAUGAGAAGAUUGAGGUAGUGUUAUUAGUUAUGUUCUUUUUCUAAAUUUGUAUAUUGUUAUCAAGAAAUGAGAGAUUGAUAGUGUUAUUAGUUUCUUUUUUGCUAAUUUUGUAUAUUGUUAUCAAGAAAUGAGAAGAUUGAUAGUGGUUAUUAGUGUUCUUGUUUUGCUAAAUUUGUAUAUGUUAUCAAGAAUGAAGAAGAUUGAUAGUGUUAUUAGUCUUCUUGUUUUGCUAAAUUUUUGUAUAUUGUAUCAAGAAAUGAGAAGAUUGAUAGUGUAUUAGUGUUCUUGUUUGCCUAAAUUUUGUAUAUUGAUAUCAAGAAAUGGAGUAUUGAUACGUGUUAUUAGUGUUCUUGUUUUGCUAAAUUUUUUAUAUUGUUACAAGAAAUGAGAGAUUGAUAGUGUUAUUGUGUUCUUUUGCUAAAUUUUGUAUAUUGUUAUCAAGAAAUGAGAAGAUGAUAGUGUUAUUAGUGUUCUUGUUUUCUAAUUUGUAUUAUUGUAUCAAGAAAUGAGAAGAUUGAUAGUGUUAUUAGUGUUCUUGUUUGAAAUUUUGUAUAUUGGUUAUCAAGAAAUGAGAAGAUUGUAUGAUUAGUGUUCUUGUUCUCAGUAAAAUUUUGGUUAUGUAUAUCAAGAAAUUGAGAAGGCAUGGAAUAGUGUUAUUAUGGUCUUAGGCCUAAAUUUGUAUAUGAUCAAGACAAUUAGGACAUUGAUGCAUGAGUGUUCAUUUCGGCUUUCCUUUGCAUAGAACUUUCCGUAGUCUUGUCUGUAUCAAGAAUGAGCAAAGGAUGAUAGUGUUUUAUUAUUUCUUGUUUUGCUAGUAUGUAUAUUGUUAUCAAGAAAUGAGAGGAUUGAUAGUGCUAUUAGUGGUUCUUGUUUUGCUAAAUUUUGUAUUAGUUAUCAAGAAAUGAGAAGAUUGAUAGUGUUAUUAUGUUUCUUGUUUGCUAAAUUUUGUGUAUAUUGUUAUCAAGAAAUAGAAGGUUAUUGAUAGUGUUAUAGUGUUCUUUGUUUUGCUAAUUUUGUAUUGUUAUCAAGAAAUGAGAGAAGUGAUUAGUGUUAUUAGUGUUUCUUGUUUUGCUGAAAUUUAGUAUUAUUUGUUUAUUCAAGAAACUGAGAGAUUGAUAGUGUUAUUUAGUGUUCAUUGUUUUGCUAAAAUUUGUAUCAUUGUUAUCAAGAAAUGAGAAGAUUUGAUAGUGUUUUAGUGUUCUUGUUUUGCUAAUUUUGUAUUUGUUAUACAAGAAAUGAGAAGGAUUGAUAUUGUUUAUUAGUUCUUGUUUUGCUAAAUUUUGGUAUAUUUUAUCAAGAAAUGAGGAAGAUUGUAGUGUUAUUAGUGUUCUUGUUUUGCUAAAUUUGUUUAUAUUGUUAUCAAAGAAUGAGAAGAUGAUAGGUUUAUUAGUGUUCUUGUUUGCUAAAUUUGUAUAUUGUUAUAUAACAAAGAGAAGAUUGAUAGUGUUAUUAGUGUUUCUUGUUUUUGCUUUUAAAAUUUUGUUAUUUCUUGUUAUUCAAGGAAAUGAGAAGAUUUGAUAAGUGUUAUUAGUUGUUUCUUGUUUCUAAAUUUUGUUUAUGUUAUCAAUUUUGUAUAUUAUUAUCAAGAAAUGAGAAGAUUGAUAGUGUUAUUAGUGUUCUUGUUUUGCUAAAUUUUGUAAAUUGUUAUCAAGAAAUGAGAAGAUUGAUAGUGUUAUUAGUGUUCUUGUUUUGAAAAAUUUUGUAUAUUGUUAUCAAGAAAUGAGAAGAUUGAUAGUGUUAUUAGUGUUCUUGUUUUACUAAAUUUUGUAUAUUGUUAUCAAGAAAUGAGAAGAUUGAUCGUGUUAUUAGUGUUCUUGUUUUGCUAAAUUUUGUAUAUUGUUAUCAAGAAAUGAGAAGAUUGAUAGUGUUAUUAGUGUUCUUGUUUUGCUAAAAAUUUUAUAUUGUUAUCAAGAAAUAAGAAGAUUGAUAGUGUUAUUUGUGUUCUUGUUUUGCUAAAUUUUGUAUAUUGUUAUCAAGAAAUGAGAAGAUUGAUAGUGUGAUUAGUGUUCUUGUUUUGGUAAAUUUUGAAUAUUGUUAUCAAGAAAUGAUAAGGUUGAUAGUGUUAUUAGUGUUCUUGUUUUGCUAAAUAUUGAAUAUUGUUAUCAAGAAAUGAGAAGAUUGAUAGUGUUAUUAGUGUUCUUGUUAUCAAGAAACGAAUUUUGUAUAUUGUUAUCGAGAAAUGAGAAGAUUGAUAUUUUAUAGUGUUCUUGUUUGCUAAAUUUUGUAUAUUGUUAAUCAAGAAUGAAAGAUGAUAGUGUUUAUUAAGUGUUCUUUUUUUUCUAAUUUUGUAUAUUUUUAUCAAGAAAUGAGAAGAUGAUAGUGUUAUUAAUGUUCUUGUUGCUAAAUUUGUAUUUUAUUAUCAAGAAAUGAGAAGAUUGCCUAGUGUAUUAAGUGUUCUGUUACUAAAUUUUGUAAUAUUGUUAUCAAGACAAUGAGAAGAAUUGAUAGUGUUAUUAUGUUCUUGUUUUGGCUAAAUUUUGUAUAUUGUUUAUGCAGAAAUGAGUGAUUGAUAGUGUUAUUAGUGUUUCUUGCGUUUUUGCUAAAUUUUGUUUAUUGUUAUCGAAAAAAAUGGGAAAGAAAGAUUUGAUAGAAAUUUAAGUCUUGUUUUCUAAAAAAAGUUUUUAUUUGUUAUCAGAUUAAAGAGAUUGGGAAGUGUUAUUAUUUCUUGUUUUGGCUAAAAUUUUGUAUAUUGUUUCAAGAAAUAGAAGAUUGAUAAGUGUUAUUAGUGUUCUUGUUUUGCUAAAAUUUUGUAUAUUGUUUAUCAAGAAAUGAGAAGAUUGAUAGGUUAUUAGUGUUCUGUUGUUUUUUACUAAUAUUUAGUAUAGUUGUUAUGCAAAAGAAAUGAGAAGAUUGAAGUGUUAUUAGUCUUCUUGUUUUGCUAAUUUGUAUAUUGUUAUCAAGAAAUGAGAAGAUUGAUAGUGUUAUUAGUGUCUCUUGUUUUGCUAAAUUUUGUAUAUUGUUAUUAUCAGAAACUGAGUAAGAUUGAUAGUGUUAUUAUUUCUGUUUUGCUAAUUAAUGUAUAUUGUUAUCAAGAAAUGAGAAGAUUGAUAUUGGUUAUUAGUGUUCUUGUUUGCGAAUUUUGUAUAUUGUUAUUAGAAAUGAGAGAUUGAAAUAGUGCUUAUUUGUGUUCUUGUUUGCUAAUUUUGUAUUAAUUGUUUAUCAAGAAAUGAGAGAUUGAUAGUGUUAUUAGUGUUCUUGUUUUCUAAAUUUUGUAUAUUGUUAAUCAAGAAAUGAGAAGAUUGAUAGUGUUAUUAGUGUUUAUUGUUUUGCUAAAAUUUUGUAUAAUUGUUAUCAAGAAAUAAGAAGAUGAUAGUGUUUAUUAGUGGUUUUCUUGUUUUGCUAAAUUUUUGUAUAUUGUUAUCAAAGAAAUGAGAAAUGAUUUUGGAUAGUGUUUAUUAGUGUUCUUGCUUUUGCCUAAGUUCUUAUAUGAAUUGUUUUAUCAGAAAUGAGAAAGAUUGAACAAGGGUUAAUUAAGUUCAUGUUUUGCUAAAUUUUGUAUAGUUGUUAUCAGAUGAGAAGACUUGAUAGUUGUUAUUAGUGUUCCUUGUUUUGCUAAAUUUUUGAUAUAUUGUUAUCAGAAAUGAAGAAGAUUGUAGUGUUUAUUAGUGUUCUGGUUUUGCUAAAUUUGUUUUAUUGUUUAUCAGAAAUGAGAAAAAGAUUGAUAAGUGUUAUUAGUGUUCUGUUUUGCUAAAUUUUGUAUAUUUUUAUCAAGAAAUGAGAAGAUUGAUAGUGUUAUUAGUGUUCUUGUUUUGCUAAAUUUUGUAUAUUGUUAUCAAGAAAUGAGAAGAUUGAUAGUGUUAUUAGUGUUCUUGUUUUGCUAAAUUUUGUAUAUUGUUAUCAAGAAAUGAGAAGAUUGAUAGUGUUAUUAGUGUUCUUGUUUUGCUAAAUUUUGUAUAUUGUUAUCAAGAAAUGAGAAGAUUGAUAGUGUUAUUAGUGUUCUUGUUUUGCUAAAUUUUGUAUAUUGUUAUCAAGAAAUGAGAAGAUUGAUAGUGUUAUUAGUGUUCUUGUUUUGCUAAAUUUUGUAUAUUGUUAUCAAGAAAUGAGAAGAUUGAUAGUGUUAUUAGUGUUCUUGUUUUGCUAAAUUUUGUAUAUUGUUAUCAAGAAAUGAGAAGAUUGAUAGUGUUAUUAGUGUUCUUGUUUUGCUAAAUUUUGUAUAUUGUUAUCAAGAAAUGAGAAGAUUGAUAGUGUUAUUAGUGUUCUUGUUUUGCUAAAUUUUGUAUAUUGUUAUCAAGAAAUGAGAAGAUUGAUAGUGUUAUUAGUGUUCUUGUUUUGCUAAAUUUUGUAUAUUGUUAUCAAGAAAUGAGAAGAUUGAUAGUGUUAUUAGUGUUCUUGUUUUGCUAAAUUUUGUAUAUUGUUAUCAAGAAAUGAGAAGAUUGAUAGUGUUAUUAGUGUUCUUGUUUUGCUAAAUUUUGUAUAUUGUUAUCAAGAAAUGAGAAGAUUGAUAGUGUUAUUAGUGUUCUUGUUUUGCUAAAUUUUGUAUAUUGUUAUCAAGAAAUGAGAAGAUUGAUAGUGUUAUUAGUGUUCUUGUUUUGCUAAAUUUUGUAUAUUGUUAUCAAGAAAUGAGAAGAUUGAUAGUGUUAUUAGUGUUCUUGUUUUGCUAAAUUUUGUAUAUUGUUAUCAAGAAAUGAGAAGAUUGGUAGUGUUAUUAGUGUUCUUGUUUUGCUAAAUUUUGUAUAUUGUUAUCAAGAAAUGAGAAGAUUGAUAGUGUUAUUAGUGUUCUUGUUUUGCUAAAUUUUGUAUAUUGUUAUCAAGAAAUGAGAAGAUUGAUAGUGUUAUUAGUGUUCUUGUUUUGCUAAAUUUUGUAUAUUGUUAUCAAGAAAUGAGAAGAUUGAUAGUGUUAUUAGUGUUCUUGUUUUGCUAAAUUUUGUAUAUUGUUAUCAAGAAAUGAGAAGAUUGAUAGUGUUAUUAGUGUUCUUGUUUUGCUAAAUUUUGUAUAUUGUUAUCAAGAAAUGAGAAGAUUGAUAGUGUUAUUAGUGUUCUUGUUUUGCUAAAUUUUGUAUAUUGUUAUCAAGAAAUGAGAAGAUUGAUAGUGUUAUUAGUGUUCUUGUUUUGCUAAAUUUUGUAUAUUGUUAUCAAGAAAUGAGAAGAUUGAUAGUGUUAUUAGUGUUCUUGUUUUGCUAAAUUUUGUAUAUUGUUAUCAAGAAAUGAGAAGAUUGAUAGUGUUAUUAGUGUUCUUGUUUUGCUAAAUUUUGUAUAUUGUUAUCAAGAAAUGAGAAGAUUGAUAGUGUUAUUAGUGUUCUUGUUUUGCUAAAUUUUGUAUAUUGUUAUCAAGAAAUGAGAAGAUUGAUAGUGUUAUUAGUGUUCUUGUUUUGCUAAAUUUUGUAUAUUGUUAUCAAGAAAUGAGAAGAUUGAUAGUGUUAUUAGUGUUCUUGUUUUGCUAAAUUUUGUAUAUUGUUAUCAAGAAAUGAGAAGAUUGAUAGUGUUAUUAGUGUUCUUGUUUUGCUAAAUUUUGUAUAUUAUUAUCAAGAAAUAAGAAGAUUGAUAGGGUUAUUAGUGUUCUUGUUUUGCUAAAUUUUGUAUAUUGUUAUCAAGAAAUGAGAAAAUUGAUAGUGUUAUUAGUGUUCUUGUUUUGCUAAAUUUUUUUUAUUGUUAUCAAGAAAUGAGAAGAUUGAUAGUUUUAUUUGUGUUCUUGUUUUGCUAAAUUUUGUAUAUUGUUAUCAAGAAAUGAGAAGAUUGAUAGUGUUAUUAGUGUUCUUAGUGUUCUUAAUUUUGUAUAUUGUUAUCAAGAAAUAGGAAGGUUGAUAGUGUUAUUAGUGUUCUUGUUUUGCUUAAUUUUGUAUAUUGUUAUCAAGAAAUGAGAAGAUUGAUAGUGUUAUUUGUGUGCUUGUUAUUAAGAAACGUUUGACGCUGACCCUUUAGCAAAAUCUCUCAAAAAUGAAAGGCAUUGCCAUGGGGAAUUCUCCAUGGCUUCUAUUUAGUCAAAUAAGAAUAUGGAAUAUCACAACC